rnacentral:rRNA from 1 species
GGAAGUGGCAGAGGGGUAAGUUGUGUCGAGUGAGAGAAGGAGAGUCCAGAGCGUGAGGGGGCGAGAAGAGUCGGGGAGGAGCAGCUUAGCCAGCUCCUGAGCAGAGGUGGCCUAGCCGCACGUACCGUUAACGCGCAACCUUAGCGGCGCGGGCCGCGGAAGGAGAGGCAGAGCGAGCAGGCCGCGAACCUCGGAGGCGAGCAAGCGCCGAAGGUGGCUGGAUACGCCGACGCGACGCGGGAUGGGACGGGUCCACGACCUCCCCGCACACCACUAACGUCGGCAGUGGUCACCGACGUGGUCCUCCAGAGGUGAGAAGUAGCGGACGAGGCCGGUCUAGGUCAACUUGAACGAGCCAAUAGGUGGCGAAGUGCACGUAUACCCACAUCCUCCGCUGCUGGGUUGGACGGGCCAUCGAGUUGUCACGGAGGGACGGGUACAAGAAGCCGUCGUUGUCAGAGGGAAUACGCCAAACACGUAAGGUUCGGACGGAAUCCUGUGGGGAACACUAUCAUACGGAUUCUAUUUCUGUUCGACACAACUUAUAUGACUUCCCACCCACGAAUAACUUGGGUAUUAGGUACUCGACCUACCGUUUUAAUCUCUUCGAACUUUUGCUAUGUGUACUGCCCUUAUUUUUCACGCUUCGUGAGACCGGUUAAAAAGCGUAAAGAGUAGGUUCUUCGGCAAUGUAUAAUACAUAUUACUAGAAAAGAUAUCUUCUUCCUUCCUAUAUAGUUUCCUCGACUUACUAGCAAAGAUGGUCCCAAUACGUCUGGCAUUAGACUAACGUUUCACCUUUUUCAUAGUUCUCUUCGUAUCAUUCUAUUAUUUCCAACAAACAUCUAAAACUCAGACUGUAGUAUCAAAAGGUAGUUCCACUCAUUAAAGUCGGUCGAGGGAUCCCAGAUUAUAUUCUAUGUAAUAUCGCUAUGAAAUCGUAUAUUACAUCAUGAGGGAGGCAAGGAUUUAUAUUCAGAAACAUCUCUAAUGUGAUACCUGGUGUAUGCCUACAUAUAUCUACGUAAAUCUCAAAUGCAAGUGAGUAAAACGAGGCAUACAUCAGGUAUCACUGAGAUGUUUCUGAAGAUAAAUCCUUGCCUCCCUCAUAUACCUAUUAUGUAUUCGUACGUCAUGUUCCCGUAAAAUUGGAACCCAGUACCGGUCCCCACAUACACGAUGUAAACGAGUAGUGAUUCAUCACAACAAAGACGGACAAAGAAAAGUGCCCGAACUGCUGCAGAAAAUUCUUAUGGUAGAGAUAACGCACGUAUUAUAAGAAAUCCCAGACAUAUUUAUUCAUGACGUUCAAUCGUGUGUUCGUUCUCGUUUUUAUCAUCGUCUUUCAUCCUAGACCAGCUACUAUCAGUGGGUUACUAACCAACAACGAACAUAGGACUUUACCCCACGAACCCAGACAUAUUAUGUAUCGCGUUCAGUCUUGUGUUCAUUGUCGUCUUUGUCAUCUUGUCUCAUCCUUCACCAACGACUAUCAAUGGGUUACAAACCAACAACGAAUAUAGAACUUUACCCCACGAGCCAGGGCGUGCUAACCCUCUACUGUAUGGUAGCGGAAGUACACUUAUAAGUACAGUAGUUUAAUAAUCUUCGUACAUAUAACACGUAUAUUAGUACUUGUAGUUGUAGUCUUCGUUCAAAAGAUAAUGACUGACGUUCUUCUAUUCGUUAUAAACAAAACAGACACAUUUUUAUGAUGUGUCAGGAAAAACAGCUAUAUAAGACACAGUUGUCUCAACAUGUUAUCCAACGUACAAAGUCAGUCAAUCUUCUAACGUUAUCGGCUUUGUGAUUGGUAAAAGGUGUAUCUUUAGUCAUUAAUCUCUACAUUUAACCUAGUAAGAUUACAUCUGACCACGCUACAUAGAAAGGAUACGGGAUCCAUACCAUCUUACCACACGUGAACGUCCCGUACAUUACAAACUAGACAAGAUAUUUCUAUCCGUUACCUCAUAUUGACAAGACUUUUAACAUUAGAACUCACGUCCCUUCUUAAUGUCGACCAGGUCCCCGGCACGUCCCGCCCCCACCCCCGCCAGCACGCCCACGGCCCGCCCGAGGACCAGUGACCUCUAGACCGCCUGAAGACGGUGCGACGCUCCCCCGUCCCGCCGGAGGACCCGCGGGCGAUGCAACUAGGACGUCCCUCCGCCGACCCGCCACCUCACCGCGCUCCAGCAGCACGCCCUCUUCUACAACCACACUACCACUGCUUCCGUCCCUGCGAGGACCCUCUAACCCGCUCCCCUUAGUUAAGGAAGGAAAUCAGACGCUAAUCUAAACGCACUAAAAACCCUCUGCGCCCUGGCCAUCAACCUCCCAACCACCUCGUGCCGGUCAGUAACAUUUAACGGUUCAGGUGUGGCAUUUAGAUAAUCUACUUACUACCGACAAUGUACGUCUAAGCACCCUGAUUAGGCCGCCACCACUUACCCAGCAGGCCACACAUCCCCAUUAACGCCCCACGUGAAUUCUUUUAAGUACAACCUAACAAAUUAUCAUCACUUCUUCAUCUUAUUAAAUCUGGUCCG